rnacentral:rRNA from 1 species
AUGUAAGGUUCAAAGGUCGAACAGACCUAAACUUUGAACUUCUACACCCAAAAAUAACCCUUAAUCCAACAUCGAGGUCGCAAUCUUUUUUGUCGAUAAGAACUCUUAAAAAAAAUUACGCUGUUAUCCCUAAGGUAACUUAGUCUUAUAAUCAGUAAAACUGGAUCAAUAAAUCAAUAAUUAUUGUAAAAAAAAAUAAAAAGAGUUUUAUAAAUCUUCCUGUCACCCCAACAAAAUAUUUAGUUUAAUAAAAUUUAAAAAAUACUAUAAAUAAAUUAUUAUAUAAAUAUAAAGUUCUAUAGGGUCUUCUCGUCCUUUAAUUAUAUUUAAGCCUUUUAACUAAAAAGUUAAAUUAUAAUUUCAUUUAAAUUGAGACAGUUAAUACUUCGUUCAAUCGUUCAUUCUAGCCCUCAAUUAAAAGACUAAUUAUUAUGCUACCUUUGCACGGUCAAAAUACCGCGGCCCUUUAAAAUUUCAGUGGGCAGAUUAGGGCUUUAAAUUAUUUUCUAAAAG